GGAAGGGUGGGGAGUGACGUCAAGUCAUCAUGGCCCUUACGGCCUGGGCUACACACGUGCUACAAUGGUCGGUACAAAGGGUUGCCAAGCCGCGAGGUGGAGCUAAUCCCAUAAAACCGAUCGUAGUCCGGAUCGCAGUCUGCAACUCGACUGCGUGAAGUCGGAAUCGCUAGUAAUCGUGAAAUCAGAAUGUCACGGUGAAUACGUUCCCGGGCCUU
rnacentral:rRNA from 1 species